CCACGGCGUGCUGAUGAUGG
rnacentral:miRNA from 1 species